GACGAACGCUGGCGGCGUGCUUAACACAUGCAAGUCGAGCGGAAAGGCCACUUCGGUGGUACUCGAGCGGCGAACGGGUGAGUAACACGUGAGUAAUCUGCCCUUCACUCUGGGAUAGCCACCGGAAACGGUGAUUAAUACCGGAUACGACCAUUCCACGCAUGUGGGGGUGGUGGAAACUUUUUUGGGUGGGGGAUGUGCUCGCGGCCUAUCAGCUUGUUGGUGGGGUAAUGGCCUACCAAGGCUUUGAUCAGUAGCUGGUCUGAGAAGAUGAACAGCCACACUAGAAUUGAGAACGGAAUAGACUCCUACGGGAGGCAGCAGUGGGGAAUAUUUGGCAAUGAGCGAAAGCUUGACCAAGCAAUACCGCGUGGAGGAUGAACGCUUUAGGGUUGUAAACUCCUUUUCUGAUUGAGGAAGUUCUGACAGUAUUUCAGGAAUAAGCAUCGGCUAACUUCGUGCCAGCAGCCGCCGUAAUAC
rnacentral:rRNA from 1 species